rnacentral:rRNA from 1 species
UACGAAGGGGGCUAGCGUUGCUCGGAAUCACUGGGCGUAAAGGGUGCGUAGGCGGGUCUUUAAGUCCGGGGUGAAAUCCUGGAGCUCAACUCCAGAACUGCCUUUGAUACUGGUGAGCUUGAGUCCGGAAGAGGUGAGUGGAACUGCGAGUGUAGAGGUGAAAUUCGUAGAUAUUCGCAAGAACACCAGUGGCGAAGGCGGCUCACUGGUCCGGUACUGACGCUGAGGCACGAAAGCGUGGGGAGCAAACAGG